rnacentral:rRNA from 1 species
UACGUAGGAGGCGAGCGUUGUCCGGAAUUAUUGGGCGUAAAGAGCUCGUAGGCGGUUUGUCGCGUCUGCUGUGAAAACUCGGGGCUUAACUCCGGGCCUGCAGUGGGUACGGGCAGACUAGAGUGCGGUAGGGGAGACUGGAAUUCCCGGUGUAGUGGUGAAAUGCGUAGAUAUCGGGAGGAAUACCAGUGGCGAAGGCGGCUUCCUGGCCUGUUCUUGACGCUGAGGCGCGAAAGCUAGGGUAGCAAACGGGG